GUAUUUAGUUUAUAGGCACAAGGCCCAAUGAUACAUUCUGUUACAUUCUUUGGGGUAUAUGAAAACAUAGGCCUGGACAUGCAAGGAAAGCUUGACAGCAUUCCUCCCGACCGAGUUGCCUCGGAAAGUGUUAUAUCCAGGUCUACAAAAUGUGCACAGGUGGAAAGAUAAAGAUGACGGGUGUGCACAUACCCCCGAGAGGGCCAGCUACAACCACAUCAGGUUUAUUCAAUAAUGAUCCUUCCGCAGGUUCACCUACGGAAA
rnacentral:misc_RNA from 1 species